rnacentral:tRNA from 1 species
GCCCCCAUAGUUAAGUCGGAUAUAACAGACCCCUCCUAAGGGUCAAUCACUGGUUCGAAUCCGGUUGGGGGUGCCA